rnacentral:rRNA from 1 species
CCUACGGGAGGCUGCAGUGGGGAAUAUUGGGCAAUGGGCGCAAGCCUGACCCAGCAACGCCGCGUGAAGGAAGAAGGCUUUCGGGUUGUAAACUUCUUUUCUCAGGGACGAAGCAAGUGACGGUACCUGAGGAAUAAGCCACGGCUAACUACGUGCCAGCAGCCGCGGUAAGACGUAGGUGGCAAGCGUUAUCCGGAUUUACUGGGUGUAAAGGGCGUGUAGGCGGGACUGCAAGUCAGAUGUGAAAACCACGGGCGCAACCUGUGGCCUGCAUUUGAAACUGUAGUUCUUGAGUACUGGAGAGGCAGACGGAAUUCCUAGUGUAGCGGUGAAAUGCGUAGAUAUUAGGAGGAACACCAGUGGCGAAGGCGGUCUGCUGGACAGCAACUGACGCUGAGGCGCGAAAGCGUGGGGAGCAAACAGGAUUAGAUACCCUUGUAGUC